rnacentral:tRNA from 1 species
GCGGGGGUCGCCAAGCCUGGCCAACGGCGCAGGGCUUAGGUUAUUUCUAAUAUGAGAUACCCUGUCCCUUAGGGGUUCGUGGGUUCAAAUCCCACCCCCCGCA